UACAGAGGGUGCGAGCGUUAAUCGGAAUUACUGGGCGUAAAGCGUGCGUAGACGGUUAUUUAAGUCGGGUGUGAAAGCCCCGGGCUCAACCUGGGAAUUGCAUUCGAGACUGAAUAGCUAGGGUACGGUAGAGGGAAGUGGAAUUUCCGGUGUAGCGGUGAAAUGCGUAGAUAUCGGAAGGAACAUCAGUGGCGAAAGCGACUUCCUGGACCAGUACCGACGUUCAGGCACGAAAGCGUGGGGAGCAAGCAGG
rnacentral:rRNA from 1 species